ensembl:miRNA
GUGACCCUCUAGAGGGAAGCACUUUCUGUUUGAAAGAAAGGAAAGUGCAUCCUUUUAGAGGAUUAC